UACUACUAUAUAUAGUGGUGAGUAUCCGCGUCUGUCACAUGCGAGACCCGGGUUCAAUUCCCGGCCGAGGAGAAA
rnacentral:tRNA from 1 species